rnacentral:lncRNA from 1 species
GUAACCUGAAGCAACUGUCUUUUGACUUGGCACUGCCUAACACUGAAGCGUCUGCCCUGCCUGGGGACUGUAACCCAAGCCAACACAUGCCUCACAGACAGCUUUCUUUAGCCACUGACAGCAUAGAGGAACGAAGAGCGUGAAAUUGCCCUGGGACAGACGCUUCCCGGAGGGGAAUUUGGUGCUAAGUUUCUCUAAGAGAGGGUGGCAUUGCCAUCUCCUAAUCUUCUAUUUAAGGGUAACCACUAGAAAGUCCUUCUUUUGAGGAAAGGAAAUAGUUACUGUAAGGAAACUGGAGGUGAUCGAACCCCUGGAAAAGUUUCCCCCACUUUGAACUUGGCAAUGUUUCACUGCAGGUCAUGUCCACAUGGAAAGCAAGGCUCACCAAAAGACUGAAAUCUCCAUCUAGAAGAAUGCAUCCUUUUCCAUGCUCAGCUCUGCUUGCUUGUUUUGGGAAUACAAGGGAGAAUGCACCCUUUGAUCAGCCCAGCACAGCUGAUACUCAUUCCACCAUCUAUGUUCAGCCCAUGGCCAAAGCAGAGAGGCACUCAUGUCACUCGAAAGGGGAAGAAGGAACUCCAGAGAAGAGGGAAGAUUCCGGCAUCUGUUCAGAGAAAAAUGGCAGUGCAAAUCUGAAUUCAAGCAACCACACUUCCAAUCAGCCUGCUGAGACCGCUGAGGAUUCACCUGGGUCACUAGAAGGUAAAUCGGACUGUGAAGCAGUUACUUUCCAGACUUCUAUCCCCAGACCAUCAAUUAUUGAAAUGCCAACGGAAGAAGAGGAAUCCCAGGAAGAACCUAAAUGCCUUGAGUUGGGACAGAAGAUGGCACCAGGUAGAGUACAUUCAGUGUGAUGCAUGCUUUUUUGGGCUGCUGUUGCUGACAGCAGGG